GAUACGUGCUUCACAUUCCUUCCCUCAAAACAAAAUUGAUUGGCCUUGACCUGGGGCCACACCAGGGAGAAGGCACCCUCUGGGGCAAGGGUGCCUUCCAGUGCCUGGCUGAAGGCAGUCACCACAUGGUCCAGGAAGCCUGAGGAAUGAGAGGUAUGUGGGAGUCCAAAGGGCUGGGCUCUGUCCUGGCUCUCAUCACCCAAGGGCAUCUGCAAGUUGAGAUGAGAUCCAGGAAGAUGCAGUUCAAUCUCAGGGAAUUCCAAAGAUGCCUGAAAUCUAUCACCUCUCCAUUCCUUGAAUUAUCUAUGCUGACUGGAGGUCCUAUAAUCACUGUCCUCCAUAUCACCGUGAAGCUUAACUCU